UAAAAGUCGUAACAAGGUUUCCGUAGGUGAACCUGCGGAAGGAUCAUUAACAUGAAACCCAGUUUCAAACCAACCUGUGAACUUGUUUCAACCUAUGUCAGCUAUUUUUCAGUCUAGUGGCCCUCGGGUGACUAGCAGGCUGGCAUUUUUUCUUUAACCUUUUUAACCCCUUUUUUUUAAAUUGACUGAAAUUGUUUAAUCGUUGUACGCAACGUGUUAAAUCAAAUCGAAAUAUCUGAACAAUUCUUAGCAACGGAUAUCUUGGUUCUCGCACCGAUGAAGAACGCAGCGAAAUGCGAUACGUAAUGCGAAUUGCAAAACUCAAUGAAUCAUCAAAAUUUUGAACGCAAAUUGCCGCUCUUAUCUAUAAGAGCACAUUUCUCUGAGUAUCGGUUCAACCUCAUAUCGCCAGCGUGCUUAUCUAAUAAGUCCAUGCUGAGCGGAAAAUGAGUGUCUCGAGCUUCUUAAAAGGCUUGAGUCGCUUUAAGGUUAGCGACCGUUAGAGAACUUUUAAGCUUAACCGCUUCAAGACUUUUUUCUUUGGGAGUGACGUGGAUAAUGGGAAACCAUAAAACGUCGUUCUGUCAAUCGGAAAAUAACUUGGUGUUUUCUAAACUCUUCGAGUCGUGGAGAUAAUGUCUUCAUUUACACCCGAAUUAGAUCUCAGAUGAAGUGAGAGUACCCGCCGAAUUUAAGCAUAUCAAUA
rnacentral:rRNA from 1 species